GACCGAUUGCUGCUCGUAAAGGUGCACUAAGUAACUUUCCUGUCUAGUGAAAUUAUAUUGGUUUUCCUGCAGUGUUCCACAGUCAGGGCUGGACUGGGAGAAGAAAUGGGCCCUGGACUUUUUGUUCUGUAGUGUUUGAGAGCUUCAGGCAGCUCCAGCCAGUCUAUGGCCAUCCUGUGGACAAUGUGCUUCUGAAUGGCUUUCCUACACAGCGUCUGUAAGGAGGAGACUGCAGAAGGCAUAACACAUGAAGGCUGAUUAUUAAAGUUGCAGCAAACACAUCCACCACGGCAUACAGCGGCUGGAUGGUUGGGAUGCCCCUGGCUGAGGCGCCCAUGUCCUCUC